GACAGAGGCCUCAAGCGUUUAGGCGGAAUCACUGGGCUUAAAGCGUGUGUAGGCGGACGCCUAAGUACCUUGUGAAAUCCCACGGCUCACCCGUGGAACUGCUGGGUAUACUGGGGUGUCUUGGGCCAUUCAGGGGCAACUGGAACAAGCGGUGGAGCGGUGAAAUGCGUAGAUAUCGCUUGGAACGCCGAAGGUGAAAACAGGUUGCUGGGGAUGCGCCGACGCUGAGACACGAAAGCCAGGGGAGCAAACGGGG
rnacentral:rRNA from 1 species